ACUUUUGUAGUAAAAUUAUAAUACCUUGAUAUUAAAAAUCAAAAAUGAGAUAAAUCUCCUAAAGUA
rnacentral:tRNA from 1 species